rnacentral:rRNA from 1 species
GACAGAGGCCUCAAGCGUUAGGCGGAAUCACUGGGCUUAAAGCGUGUGUAGGCGGAUCGUUAAGUGUCUUGUGAAUCCCACGGCUCACCCGUGGAACUGCUGGGUAUACUGGUUGUCUUGAGCCAGCUAGGGGCGAGCGGAACAGACGGUGGAGCGGUGAAAUGCGUAGAUAUCGUCUGGAACGCCGAAGGUGAAAACAGCUCGCUGGGGCUGCGCUGACGCUGAGACACGAAAGCCAGGGGAGCGAACGGG